UACAUAUUUAUGUCAUAUGGUAGAUACUUCAAAAACCUUCCAGAAUAAUUAUUAUUGUCUUCUAUUUCAACACUCCCCCUCAACGCUAACUAUUCUAGCUCUUUCCAUCAUCUCGAAUUGUUGUUGGAAUUUUGCAUGGUUAGGUGCUUUUAGGCUUCAGGCACUAUGUCCCAAUGUCGAUGUCUUCUCAAUGUGUCCACUUCUUCUUCCAUGGUCUUUCUCCAUUGGCUAUUCUAUGACGCUUAUUCAUAUGUUGUUGGCUCCUCAAAUGUUGCUAAUGUCGUAUUCACGUAUCUAAAAUUAGGUUUUCUUAGUCUUAUUAAUCUUGGUAAUUGUGGCCCUUGAUUAUGUAAUCCACUUUGCAAAGGAAUUUGUGUCAUUAAUUGCUCUUCUUCGUUUUUGUUGUUUUCUUCUUCUCAUUCUAUUGGAGCCUGUUGCACUUUACUUAUCUCUUCUAUUGAUUCUUCUUUGAAAGAUUUCUCAUCUUUAGGUGUCUUUUUUGAUUCGGAUGCCUGUUAUGACGAUGCUUUAUCAACGGUAACAAUUCUUGAUGUAUAGCAUUGUUCACUGACAAAAUUAAUGCACCUUGUUCUUAGGUGUCUUUGCCCAUUCACGUAGGUGCCCUCUGCUAACAUUACAUAGAUGGAGUCUAUUUCUUGUUCUUCUAUCAAUAGCGUACCACUAACUUCCAAAUCUCGGUAUACCUUGACACGAUCAAGUCCAAACACAAUCAGGUCCAAAAAUUAAUACUGAUACUUUCUACUCGAGUUUAAUUGGCAGAUAUCUUUACGAAAGUGUUGGGAAAAGAAAAUUUUGAAUUUCUUCUUUGCAAGUUGGGCAUUCGAGAUAUUCACACUCCAACUUGAAGAGGAGAUUACGAAUAUUGUUAUUAUUAAUAUUCCUCCGUUUUUAUUGUGAAUGUAUUAUAUUUCCUAAAUCUAAUUAUGUAUUUUAGAUAACAAAUAAUUAUAACUAGGAGGUUUUCUUUAGGAAUUAAUUUAUGUAUUUUAGGUAACUAAUUUUUUGUAUUUUGUGGGUGAAAAUCAUGUAUAUGAGUUUUGAAGGAAGUGAAUGAGAAACACAGGAAGAGAGAUUUUGGCAAUCCAUAUUUCAAUGAAAAAAAAUUAAGUUAAUUUAUCAAAGAAACUAACUCUAGAAAUCAAAAUUUAGAGACUUGAUGGGCUUUUAGGAUAAAUCCACUGAGGCUCAAGAAGAAUUUAAACUCUGGAAGUGGAAGGCAAUUGUGGGAAUGAAUAGUUUUCAAAAUGCCACGUAGUUGAUCAAAAUUUCUUCCUACACAAAAGACGUCAGCAAACAAAAUACUCUGUUUACUCUCAUUUUGACAUGUAAGAACACUCUUCGAUGGCAGCUUGUUUUGAUGAUGAAAACACAUGCAAGGACAGAGAUAAAGUAGGAGAAAAAGAGAAAGAAGAGAAAAAUAAGAAGACUCGAGUUACGUGGUUCGAUCAAGUGAUCUACGUCUAUGAGAAGAAGCACUCUACUUUCAAAAUCACAAGAAGAGUUUACAAGAUAUUUUCUCUUAUUUUUCCACUCUUUUCUUUAUUUGUUUGUAUUGUAUAAAAUGAAAGUUUGAAUCCUCUUUUAUACUUCAGGCAGAUUCAUACAAGAGAGUUUAUUAAGAGAAAGUAAAAUUUAUUUCAUUAUUUUCACUCCAUCAUUGAAACCAAUAUACAUACAUAUCAUAGCUCUAGCCUUUAAUUUUUUUUGGUUCCCCACACAACAAAAAACCUUUAAGUUAUCUAGGUUAGGGGGUGUUUAGUCCAUUUCUCUUCUAGAGUUAGGAAGUUUAAAGAAGUAUGAGGGCAUCUAUUUAGUGUAUAAAUUGUGUAAGAGGCUACUUCAGCCCAAAACUUCUCAUGUAGUACAACAUUAGAUAAACGACAUCUAACCCUCUCCAUAAUGGUUUUGUUAAGUCUUUCUGCAACUCUAUUCUAUUGAGGGGUGUGUCUUACAAUUCUAUGUCUAGUUAUGCCUCAUUUUCUACAAAACUUGUUAAAAUCCUCACCACAGAAUUCUAGUCUAUCGUCUAUUCUUAGGUACUUGAUAUUCUUCAUUGUUUGAUUUUCAAUCUUAGUUUUAAGGAAAUAAACCAAACUUCUUCUAGAGUAAUUAUCAGUUAGGGUUAGAAUGUACAUUGAUCCACUUGGGGGGGGGGAAUGGUUGGGGCUGGCCCCCAAAGAUCUAGGUGGAUAUAGUUUAGGAUUCCUUUUGUGGUAUGGUGGGAUUUGAUAAAGCUAUGUCUUAUUGACUUGCGAAGUAUGCAAUGUUCACAAAGGUGAGUUGGUCACUGAUGCCAUUAGGAAGAAGUCACUGUUUAGAUAGAGCUUGGAGCCUUUUUGCACUAUGUGAGUCAACUUUUUAUGUCAUAUAUCACCUUCUAUCAAGGUGGAAACAAUCACUGUAUUUGCUGAGUUUAUCAUCUACAUACCAUUGAUUAUAAACACUCCAUUUACCUUUUCCCCAGCCAAGACCACCUUUCCAUCUUUAAUUACUUCAAAAGUUCUUCCUUUGCCUUGAUAUUCAUAGCCAAUAGAGUCUAGCAUCCCUAAAGAUAUGAGAUUUCUUUUUAGUUUAGGAACAUGUCUCACAUUCCUUAAUAGUUUGAUUAAUCUAUCCUCUAAUUUUAAGGAAACUGAACUAAUACCAAUUAUUUUGCAGACCUCAUUGUUUCCCAUAUACACAGGAUCUUCUUCAAUUUCUCUAUAGGUGCUGAACCAUGAUUUGAAAGGAGUCAUGUGGAAGGUAUAGCUUGAAUCUAACACCCAAUCAUGCUUUUCAAGUGGACUGAUUAGAUUAGCUUUGUCUUGAGUGGCGGCAAGUGCAUCUGAAUAGUUUGGCAAGAUCUAGAAUGGCUCGAGGCUUUUGCUGGCCUAGGAUUGCCUUAAUUUUGGCUUUUCAUGGACCAAAAUCACCUCUACCAUCAAAUUUCUCCACUUUGUACCUUGCAACAACCAUCUAUGAUGAGUUCUUGAUUCUUGAUUCUUCAUGAUUUGAAAUCUUUGGAUCUGUAUUUGAUAUGGUACCACUAUUGUUGGCCUUUUAGGAUAAAUCCACUGAGGCCCAAGAAGAAUUUAAACUCUAGAAGUGGAAGGCAGCUGUGGGAAUGAAUGAUUUCCAGAAUGCCACGUUGUUGAUCAAAAUUUCUUCUUACAAAAAAGAGGACAAAGAUGAAGUAGAAGACAAAGAGAAGGAAGAAAGAAAGAAGAAGACUCGAGUUACGUGGUUCGAUCAAGUGAUCUUCGUCCAGGGAGAUGAAGAACUCUACUUUCAAAAUCACAAGAAGUGUUUACAAGAAAUUCUCUCUUAUUUUUCCUCUCUUUCCUCUAUUUAUUUGUAUUGUAUAAAAUGAAAGUUUUAAUCCCAUUUUAUACUUAAGGCAGAUUCAUUACAAGAGAGUUGUUAAGAGAAAGUGAAGUUGAUUUCAUUAAAUACAAGACUUUUAUCUCCAAAUGUAUAACUCAACUAAUUAACAACAUAAGUCUUUAAUUAAGGGCAAAAUACACUUUUAGUUCCUGAAGUUUGAAGUUUAUGUCUAUUUGGUUUCUAGGUUUAAAAAGGAACACUUUAGCCUAUGAAAUUUGAAAAAUAGUUCAAAAUGGUCCCUAAAGUUAGUUUGACGAUUAGUUUAUGGUUAAAAAGUUGAUGUGGCAGUCACUGAAUGAUUGUACAACACCGAUGUAGCAUUUUUCAGAUGAGUUAUCUUAUUGGUUUGUUUUAGUUGAGGUGUGGACUUUCACUUCCCCCUCUCUCUUUCUCCUUUCAUCUUCUUCCUCUUCUUCUUCCUUUCUUAUAUGUCAUCUUCCAGCAAACCCAUUGCUGGCAAUCAUUGCUACUGAGCAGAUGCUAUUGCCACAAUACCAGUCAU